AUAAUCACAUAGAUAUACACAAUUGCCCAGACAAAAUUGAAGAAAUGCAUGGAAAUUAGAUAGUACCUUUUAGUUCUGGACAGAAAACUGAGCUUUGUCAUUAUUGAAUACAUAAAAUUUGAAGAGAAUAUGUUGAAGAUUUCAUCCCUUGCCAAAGAGGAGGAGAAGGUAUACAUUUUCUGUGAUUUGAUUGUGCUAGACUGGAGAUCCAGAUGGCCACAGGCAUCUGAAAUGAUACAUUAUUCCUUUCCCUGCAGGUGCUUCUAACUACUAAGGCAGCAGCAGGUAUGAACUCAGAUGGACACUAGGUUUGUGGGUUUUUUCACAGAGGCAAC